rnacentral:hammerhead_ribozyme from 1 species
AUCCAGCUGAUGAGUCCCGAAUAGGACGAAGCGCGCGUUCUAGAC